GACGAACGCUGGCGGCGUGCUUAACACAUGCAAGUCGAACGGAAAGGCCCUGCUUUUGUGGGGUGCUCGAGUGGCGAACGGGUGAGUAACACGUGAGUAACCUGCCCUUGACUCUGGGAUAACUUCAGGAAACUGGGGCUAAUACCGGAUAGGAGCUCCUGCUGCAUGGUGGGGGUUGGAAAGUUUCGGCGGUUGGGGAUGGACUCGCGGCUUAUCAGCUUGUUUGUGGGGUAGUGGCUUACCAAGGCUUUGACGGGUAGCCGGCCUGAGAGGGUGACCGGCCACAUUGGGACUGAGAUACGGCCCAGACUGCUACGGGCGGCAGCAGUGGGGAAUAUUGCACAAUGGGCGGAAGCCUGAUGCAGCAACGCCGCGUGCGGGAUGACGGCCUUCGGGUUGUAAACCGCUUUCGCCUGUGACGAAGCGUGAGUGACGGUAAUGGGUAAAGAAGCACCGGCUAACUACGUG
rnacentral:rRNA from 1 species